rnacentral:rRNA from 1 species
AUUGAACGCUGGCGGCAUGCUUUACACAUGCAAGUCGAACGGCAGCACGGGUGCUUGCACCUGGUGGCGAGUGGCGAACGGGUGAGUAAUAUAUCGGAACAUGUCCGGAAGUGGGGGAUAACGUACCGAAAGGUACGCUAAUACCGCAUAUGCCCUGAGGGGGAAAGGGGGGGAUCGCAAGACCUCUCGCUUUCGGAGUGGCCGAUAUCGGAUUAGCUAGUAGGUGAGGUAAAGGCUCACCUAGGCGACGAUCCGUAGCUGGUCUGAGAGGACGACCAGCCACACUGGGACUGAGACACGGCCCAGACUCCUACGGGAGGCAGCAGUGGGGAAUUUUGGACAAUGGGCGCAAGCCUGAUCCAGCCAUGCCGCGUGAGUGAAGAAGGCCUUCGGGUUGUAAAGCUCUUUCAGCUGGAAAGAAAUCGUACUUAUUAAUACUAGGUGCGGAUGACGGUACCAGCAGAAGGAGCACCGGCUAACUACGUGCCAGCCGCCGCAGUAA